CAUCGGGUGAGUGGUCUCUUUGUCUCCACCCACUCCCCCAUGCGCUAAGAAACACAGGCAUGAAAAGAAUCACCUUUAAUGUUGUGAAGUCAAGCACCUAAAAAUCUUGAAAAUUGUACAGCUAAAUAAUUUCUGUAAACUACAUUUUCCAUUUUUAAGGCAGAUGGAAAGGAACAGUUAAAUAGGAGGGAACGAGGACAGUGCUUAAGGUUGUAGUUUACAGCUACCAAAUAACACAUGGUUUAUUUGGUGUAUAGAGCACUGACCUGUUAGUGGAUGAAAGAAUAACAUAUGUCAAGUCAUUUAAUUUUGAAAAAGGGUGUUUGCCUUGUUCCUUGAAGAAUAUGAAAGGUGAAUACUGAGUGGGAAGGUGCAGGACAAGGCAGAUGUGCCCUCAGCCAGCUGGAUUCUGCACAAGAAAAUGGACUCUUUGCCUGGCCUUCUCUGGUGAGCUCCUCAACAAUGAACUGUGAAGACACAGAUGAGCCAAAAAAGUGAAAUGGACCAGAGACAAAGUCAGAGCAGAUUCCAGCCAAGAUGAAGAGGUUUUUGACCACCUUGAAAUUGGACAUAAAGCUGUGGCCUCCUUGAAAUGGCAGAAGAUGAGAGAGGAGGGAGGAGAUGUGGCCAGGAGAUGGGAAGUGAACUGCUCAAAAAGCAGGCACUGGCUUUGCCUUCUGCUGUCUCAGUGACAGCAAGGGUGCAGUGCUGGCACUUGGCAGGGUGCCCUUCUCCUGGGAGGGAAACGGGAAUGAAAAGCAUCACUGGGAAGGCACAGAGCUUGAAGGGCAGGCAGAGGGUCACAGUGGGGCUGGGGGGGGAAACAAGCAGAUACUAGGGAUGUUUGUGAGAGUGGGUGCUGGUGGAGAGGGUGCUGUGUGCUUAGGAGGCUUGGAGCUUCAUGGCAAACAUGGCAUGGAAAAGGGCAGCACAGGGAAACACAGCAUUCACAAGUAGACCUGAGCAGGGAGCUGCAGUGAUGAUACUUGCCACACUAUAUGUGUGAGUUGGGCUGCAGAAUUUGGCUCUUGAAAAGCAGAGUUCCAGGCACAUGAGAGAGAGUUAGGGUAAAAAUUACAGCAGGGUGAAAGGCUGCAGCUGAGAAAUCCUUUUGGCUCCAGCGGUGUUGGUGAACAAGUGAUGUAAAAUGCUGUGAUGUAGAGGAUGAGAGACACUGCACAGGGGUCACCCUGGGGACUUGCAAGAGCCUUUUGUCCCUGUGUGUUUUCCUGGCUGCCUUGGCUUAGGAAGUCAGCAGGAGUGCUAAGACUACAAGCUAUCCUUUUCUGACAGGCUACAUCUCCUUGCUGAUGUUCCUGGCUUCCUUAGCCAGAGCAAUAAAUACAAGCAGGAAUGCAGUUGUAGGCAGCCAGGCUUUGGCCUGACCAUGACAUUUUCUCAGCUGUAAGAAUAAUUUCAGAAGAGCAGACUAAGGGAAAUAUUUUUUGCUUAAUGGGUUAUAGCAUCUCAUCAGUCACAUACCAUACAAUACACAGUUUUAUAAACUGUAACAUUUUGCCUGGAUAUAAAUGAAUUGUAACUGAUAACCCAUACAAUUUAAUAGUUAGUUGUAAGUUUAUUUAAUGGUGUCAAAAGAUAUUGCAGUAAUGAAAAGAUGACAUUUUAAGGACUGCUAAAGCAACAGAUUAAUCAGAAGAAUGUGCUCACAGAACAACUGUAUACUCUUGGUUAGAUAUGACAAAAAAAAAAUGACAAUGUUUACAGAUUAAGAAUAACAAAAAACUGGGGGUAACCAAAAAUGCAAGAAACUGAAACAAGGGUUGUGUGAAUAUGUAAGAGAUUAAGACUGAAGGGGAAAAAAAAGUAUUAUCUAAUAGAGUGCUUGAAAGCCAGUACUUUGGCUGCAUUGCAUACCAGGAUACUCUUGAUCUGGUCAUUAGCUUAUAUGGUGGAUACCGUGAAAAUCAUCUCACUACAGAGUUGCAUGGUUAGAGCAGAUAUCUGGGCCCGUGCUGUUUUAUUGUGUUUUUCUCUUUAAGUAUUUCAUUGGCCAUUUUCCAUUCAAGUGACAUUGGGUUUUUACAAAUCUCAAAGUAAUUUCAUUUUCAUGAAUCCCAUUUCCCUCUGCCCUUCAGAAGGGGUGUAACUAUUUCCUUGUGACAGAAGGAAUCACAGGGGAAGUCAAACAAUGCAUGGCCUAAUCAAUAUCAGUAAGAGAAUGCCAUUGAGUAAUUGAUCUGCAUUUUUCAGUGCAGCCUGUUGCCAUAAUGAGUGAUCUGCAGAGCAGAACUCCUCUAGACAGAAGAUAAAGGCCUCUGGUGAAAAUGAGUCUUUUUCAGAUGUAAAUACAGAAAAUACUGGAAUGAGAGACUUUUUGGCUUUUAUUAGAUGCAGCUCUAUUUUUGAACUAGCACCAAUACUUCCUUACAUUAAGAAAUGCAGAAAACACUGGAAUUAUUAUUGACAUUGUUUAACUGUACAAUGGGUAGUUAUCUUUGUCCCCCUUUCUUACUUUUAAGGACCUGUUUGCUUAAUUCAACAAUAAAAUCCCAUCAAUA